AACUCUGAAUACCCUGUGUGUAACUAGGCAGUCAGACUGUGGGGGAUAAGCUCCAUAGUCAAGAGGGAAACAGCCCAGACCGCCAGCUAAGGUCCCAAAAUUAACGCUAAGUGAUAAAGGAGGUGGGAUUGCCCAGACAACCAGGAGGUUUGCCUAGAAGCAGCCAUCCUCAAAGGAGUGCGUAAUAGCUCACUGGUCGAGCGAUCCUGCGCCGAAAAUGAACGGGGCUAAGCGUUAUACCGAAGCUGCGGAUAAAUUUAUUUAUGGUAGGGGAGCGUUCUAUGUAGGGUGAAGCGUUAGCGUAAGCGGACGUGGACAGCAUAGAAGUGAGAAUGUCGGCUUGAGUAGCGAAAACAUGGGUGAGAAUCCCAUGCCCCGAAACCCUAAGGGUUCCUCCGGCAGGCUCGUCCGCGGAGGGUUAGUCUGGACCUAAGGCGAGGCCGAAAGGCGUAGUCGAUGGAUAACAGGUCAAUAUUCCUGUACCAGAUGUGUUUUGAGAAGGGGGACGGAGAAGGCUAACCAGGCCAGAUGUUGGUUACUGGUUCAAGCGUUCGAGGCUUUGAGAGAUGGAGAAAACAUCUUGAGCUAAGGCGUGAGUACGAGCUGCUACGGCAGCGAAGUUGGUGAUGUCAUGCUUCCAAGAAAAGCCCUAUACUCGUUAAGACACAAAUGCCAGUACCCGAAACCGACACAGGUGGGGUGGUAGAGAAUACCGAGGGGCGCGAGAUAACUCUCUCUAAGGAACUCGGCAAAAUGGCCCCGUAACUUCGGGAGAAGGGGUGCCAGCGAGAGCUGGUCGCAGUGAAGAGGCGCAAGCGACUGUUUACCAAAAACACAGGUCUCCGCUAAGUCGCAAGACGAUGUAUGGGGGCUGACACCUGCCCAGUGCCGGAAGGUUAAGGAAGCUGGUUAGCUUUAUGUGAAGCUGGCGACUGAAGCCCCGGUGAACGGCGGCCGUAACUAUAACGGUCCUAAGGUAGCGAAAUUCCUUGUCGGGUAAGUUCCGACCCGCACGAAAGGUGUAACGAUUUGCGCGCUGUCUCGGAGAGAGGCUCGGCGAAAUAGAAUUGUCUGUGAAGAUGCGGACUACAUACACCCGGACAGAAAGACCCUAUGAAGCUUUACUGUAGUUUGAUAUUGUGCUCGGGCUCUGAAUGCGCAGAAUAGGUGGGAGACGUUGAAAUAGUGCUUGUGGGUACUAUUGAGUCAUCGGUGAGAUACCACUCUUUUAGAGCUAGGGUUCUAACGCUUACCCGUUAUCCGGGAAGCGGACAGUAUCUGAUGGGCAGUUUGACUGGGGCGGUCGCCUCCUAAAAGGUAACGGAGGCGCACAAAGGUUCCCUCAGGCUGGUUGGAAAUCAGUCGUUGAGUGCAAAAGCAGAAGGGAGCUUGACUGUGAGACCUACAAGUCGAACAGGGACGAAAGUCGGUUUUAGUGAUCCGACGGUUCUGCGUGGAAGGGCCGUCGCUCAACGGAUAAAAGUUACUCUAGGGAUAACAGGCUGAUCUCCCCCAAGAGUUCACAUCGACGGGGAGGUUUGGCACCUCGAUGUCGGCUCAUCGCAACCUGGGGCUGAAGUCGGUCCCAAGGGUUGGGCUGUUCGCCCAUUAAAGCGGUACGCGAGCUGGGUUCAGAACGUCGUGAGACAGUUCGGUCCAUAUCCGGUGUAUGCGCAGGAAUAUUGAGAGGAUUUCUCCCUAGUACGAGAGGACCGGGAGGAACGCACCUCUGGUGUGCCAGUUAUCGUGCCAACGGUAAACGCUGGGUAGCCAUGUGCGGAGUGGAUAACCGCUGAAAGCAUCUAAGUGGGAAGCCCACCUCAAGAUGAGUAUUGCCAUGGCUUAAGCCAGUAAGGUCACGGGAAGAACACCCGUUGAUAGGCUCUACGUGGAAGCUUGGUAACAAGUGCAGCGGAGGAGUACUAAUAGACCGAGGGCUUGACCAA
rnacentral:rRNA from 1 species